rnacentral:misc_RNA from 1 species
GAUGAAGAACGCAGCGAAAUGCGAUACGUAAUGUGAAUUGCAGAAUUCCGUGAAUCAUCGAAUCUUUGAACGCACAUUGCGCCCUCUGGUAUUCCGGGGGGCAUGCCUGUUCGAGCGUCAUUAUAACCACUCAAGCUCUCGCUUGGUAUUGGGGUUCGCGGUUCCGCGGCCCCUAAAAUCAGUGGCGGUGCCUGUCGGCUCUACGCGUAGUAAUACUCCUCGCGAUUGAGUCCGGUAGGUCUACUUGCCAGCAACCCCCAAUUUUUACAGGUUGACCUCGGAUCAGGUAGGGAUACCCGCUGAACUUAAGCAUAUCAAUAAGCGGAGGA